rnacentral:rRNA from 1 species
AGAGUUUGAUCAUGGCUCAGGAUGAACGCUGGCGGCGUGCCUAACACAUGCAAGUCGAGCGAGAAGUUUAUGAAAGAUUCUUCGGAUGAUUGAAUAACUGGAAAGCGGCGGACGGGUGAGUAACGCGUGGGCAACCUGCCCUGUACAGAGGGAUAGCCACUGGAAACGGUGAUUAAUACCUCAUAUUACUACAGCAUCGCAUGGUGAAGUAGUGAAAGUUCCGGCGGUACAGGAUGGGCCCGCGUCUGAUUAGCUAGUUGGUAGGGUAAUGGCUUACCAAGGCGACGAUCAGUAGCCGACCUGAGAGGGUGAUCGGCCACACUGGAACUGAGACACGGUCCAGACUCCUACGGGAGGCAGCAGUGGGGAAUAUUGCACAAUGGGCGCAAGCCUGAUGCAGCAACGCCGCGUGAGCGAUGAAGGCCUUCGGGUCGUAAAGCUCUGUCCUAUGGGAAGAAUAAUGACGGUACCAUAGGAGGAAGCCCCGGCUAAUUACGUGCCAGCAGCCGCGGUAAUACGUAAGGGGCAAGCGUUAUCCGGAAUAACUGGGCGUAAAGGGUGCGUAGGUGGUUUGAUAAGUCAGGGGUGAAAGGCUACGGCUCAACCGUAGUAAGCCCUUGAAACUAUUAAACUUGAGUGCAGGAGAGGAAAGUGGAAUUCCUAGUGUAGCGGUGAAAUGCGUAGAUAUUAGGAGGAACAC